AUUAAUGCUAUAAAUUUAUCCUCCUUUCUAUACAUUCUCACCUAUAAAAGAUAAUACUUUAAUAAAAAAACAAAUUAAGUUUGCAUAAUUAUUUGUAAAAAAAAAAAUUAGACAUUGAAUUUACAGAAUAAUCGUUGGAGAGAAGGAUCCGCAACCGUAUAUGAGUUAAAGAGUACGAAAUUUCAACGGUAAACAGUGAAAAGAUUUCUCUGCUCUAAUCUGAACACAAAGGUACUGUACGUGAAGACUUGUCCAGAGCAAAGCCAAAAACCACGUGUGGGGCACACAUAGACCCACAUAAGAGAGAGAGCUGCCUCUGCAACGAGGUAUAGCUGGCGGCUAUGUCCACCGUCAUCUCUUCCCUCCGGGCAAUGACCUACAGAUGAUGGAGAAGGGCUUGUCACCCCCGAGACUCGCGCGCUAUAAAAGAGUUUCGGGACAUGGGCUCCCUCCCUCUCUCUAUCUUUCUCUUCUGUGCUAAGGAUUGGACGUUUCCAACUCACGGACACAGUCAUGUAGUCCAAAUACUCAGUUGUCACUAAUCAAGACUCUCAGUCAAGCACUGCAAACUUCUCUACUUCGCAAUUUCCCUAUGCAUUUUAGUAUAGUAUAUUCACUAUGUCCAUCACUG
rnacentral:lncRNA from 1 species